GGAGGGCUAGCCAAACUGGUCACGGCAGCGGUCUUGAAAACCGCCGGGCGCAAGCCCUUGUGGGUUCGAAUCCCACGCCCUCCG
rnacentral:tRNA from 1 species